UUGCAUCUUUUUAAACCCCCCAGCUGCCUUGUGGCUUUUGGGACCAGAAAUGGUGCUAGAUCAAUCUUAGAACAUCCAAAACUGAGAGCCACUUCAGACGCUCUUGGUUAUUUCACCUCUAAGACACAA